rnacentral:rRNA from 1 species
GACAGAGGAGGCAAGCGUUGUUCCGAAUCAUUGGGCUUAAAGGGCGUGUAGGCGGCAACGCAAGUGUCGAGUGAAAUCCCAUCGCUCAACGAUGGAACGGCUCGGCAAACUGCGUGGCUUGAGGUCGGUAGAGGUGCUCGGAACUCUAGGUGGAGCGGUGAAAUGCGUAGAUAUCUAGAGGAACGCCUGAGGCGAAAGCGGGGCACUGGGCCGAUUCUGACGCUGAGACGCGAAAGCGUGGGGAGCAAACAGG